ACGGAGGAUGCGAGCGUUAUCCGGAUUUAUUGGGUUUAAAGGGUGCGUAGGCGGUUGUGUAAGUUAGUGGUCAAAUGUCAUGGCUCAACCUUGGCUUGCCAUUAAAACUGCACGACUCGAGUACAGACGAGGUAGGCGGAAUAAGUUAAGUAGCGGUGAAAUGCAUAGAUAUAACUUAGAACUCCGAUAGCGAAGGCAGCUUACCAGACUGUAACUGACGCUGAUGCACGAGAGCAUGGGUAGCGAACAG
rnacentral:rRNA from 1 species